UACGGAGGGAGCUAGCGUUGUUCGGAAUUACUGGGCGUAAAGCGCACGUAGGCGGCUUUGUAAGUUAGCGGUGAAAGCCCGGGGCUCAACUCCGGAACUGCCUUUAAGACUGCAUCGCUUGAAUCCAGGAGAGGUGAGUGGAAUUCCGAGUGUAGAGGUGAAAUUCGUAGAUAUUCGGAAGAACACCAGUGGCGAAGGCGGCGCACUGGACUGGUAUUGACGCUGAGGUGCGAAAGCGUGGGGAGCAAACAGG
rnacentral:rRNA from 1 species